UACGUAGGGUCCGAGCGUUGUCCGGAAUUACUGGGCGUAAAGAGCUCGUAGGUGGUUUGUCGCGUUGUUCGUGAAAACUCACAGCUCAACUGUGGGCGUGCGGGCGAUACGGGCAGACUUGAGUACUGCAGGGGAGACUGGAAUUCCUGGUGUAGCGGUGGAAUGCGCAGAUAUCAGGAAGAACACCAAUGACGAAGGCAGCUCUCUGGGACGGUACUGACGCUGAGACGCGAAAGCGUGGGGAGCGAACAGG
rnacentral:rRNA from 1 species